GUUCCCCUCCACGUCGCGCUUGCUCGCACACUCUUCCAAAAACCGAGUACCCCCCUUCCUAAACCCGACGGUGGCAUAGAAAAAAAAGGCGCGUUUUCUACAAUUUUUUUCCACGCCGCCCGCGUAGUGUAACGUAUCCGCGUAUACGGUUAGCCCGUUCGUUGUUGUUAUUGUUUGUUUUCGGAAAAAUAAUUUCCCACUGCACGUCGUUAUCUCCGUGGUAUUACAAACUUGGCUUUUACGCCGCCGCGGGCCAGCUGUCCGCGAUACCUCCUGCGGCCGCGCGCCGUGGGUGACGUCGACGGUCCGCCGCUCCCGUAAUUCAUCAACGUACAAACGCCGUGCGGGGAAGGGGGAAUACGCGCGACCGUAUUAUUAUUAUUAUUAUUAUUUUAUUAUUCCACACCGUCCGUGUGCGUAUGUGUACUCGUAACGAACAAUCCGAUUUAUUCAUAAUAUUAUUUUAUUCGGCAUGCCGCGCGCAGUGUUGCCAAGCCGACGUGACGACAAAACGUACAAUAAACCGCUGCAGUCGUCGCGUCGCGGGGUGUGGGUGUACUAUAUAUUUAGUAGUAAUAAUAUUAUAGUAAAUAGAGUUGUAGUGGUAGUAAUUAUAGUAGUAGUAUCUUGUAGUAACCUGUACGUUCAGACCGUUCUGUAGUAAUAGUAUUUUGUAGUAACCAGUAGUGAGUAGUACUAUCUCCGAUUAUGUUCAACGUUAUGUGUUACAAGGUAACGGUAUUCCGACGACCAAAACGUGUCAUCAGUAAUUACUGUCGUUUGUGCGCUCACGAAACGCGUUGUGAGUUGAAGACGUUACCAGCGGCAUAUAGGCAUGUUCUAUCGAUAGCCCAUAGGGCCUAGGCACUACUUUUAUUUUAAUGAGUUUUAUUGAAAAACUCAUAGGUAUAUUCUAUAAAAAAAAGUUUUCCACCAAUUUGUUAGGGAAAUGUAAAUGUAUUUUCUACAGUUUCUAAAUAUUGUUUUUCAAACCGUUACAAACUGCAAUAAUUUUUCUACGUCUAGAGAAGAAUACCUGCGUAAAAUGAUCUAGACUGGCGAUCAUGUCUGGGUUAUUUAGUCUCGGUAUCGCUAGCAUAUUAACAACAAUCGAUAUUGCAACAGGCGGUGGGCGAAGCUUGCACAUAAUAAUUAACAACUAACCGUGUUCUAUUUCAAAGUCGUGAUGGAUUUAUAUGUUUCUCAA